rnacentral:lncRNA from 1 species
UUAAAUGGCAGUCCAACUACUGACUGGAUUAUGAUUGAUACCAGUCCCUUAAUUAAGGGACUGAUACCUUGUUUGUUUACUCUCUUUCAGUACUAUAAGUAGCCCCCCCCUCCCCUAAUUCUCUUUGAAAGACAAAACCUAACGAACACAUUGCAUAUCAUCUACACUCAAUGUUCUGAACUCUCUCUCUUUUCACAAAACAUUUAUGUGCUCUUUGUUUCUACACAAUUGUCUUUCACUUUUCGUGUUGAAUGCUAAUCACUCGACUGGUUGCAAGCCAAAUUUGAAUAAGCUUGGUCACUUUCACUUUACUGGCUUCUACUCUGUUGUUUGCUUUGGGUCUACCUGUUGCUCCUUUCUUGCAUACUGUUGCUCACUUCCUGCAUACUGCUGCUAUGCUCUCUGCUUCUCUCUGCACAUUACUGCUCACCACAUUGCCCACUACUGCUCUGUGUUUACAUUAUGUUCCAGCUGAUGUAUUCCAUUUAAGUUAUAGCCUCAAAAACGAUAUGCUUCUAUUAGUACUGCACUUCCUUUUGUUUCUUGUGUGUUUUUAUUUAUGGUUAUGUUUUUCUUAUUGCCACUGGCAUAUACUUAUGAUAAUUAGUAUCCCUAGCAUGACUUGGCAUGUGACUGCCCCUUCUUCUAUCCCAAUGCAUGUUUUUUCCUCACUCAUGUGCACUACUAGCAUGUGCUCG